GGAUGGGCGAGAAAGAUCGAUAGCCGAAGCAUCUCUGCCAACCGGGUACGAACUUUUGCUUCUCCAGAAGAAACGGAUAAAGUGACGAUCGCACGAGUCUAGAAGAACAGAAGGCGGGGAUUCUUUCGUGACUUUAUAACAAGGAAGAAGUUCUAUGCUACUCUUCAAUCCACUGCUGGACCAACGAUAGCGUCAACGAGUUUCUUCUUCAUCAAGAUUAACCUGAAAAAUCGAUUACUUGAAAAAUAAAAUCAACGGAAGGAUCUUUUCCCUACUCUCCCGACAUGGCAUCGCGAUAGAGCAGGGGCAGGGGGAAGAAGAAUGCAAUAGUAAUUCCACACGAGUUCAGCUUUUACCAAAGAUAAAAAU